rnacentral:rRNA from 1 species
UACGGAGGAUCCGAGCGUUAUCCGGAUUUAUUGGGUUUAAAGGGUGCGUAGGCGGUUUGAUAAGUUAGAGGUGAAAUGUCGGGGCUCAACCCCGAAACUGCCUCUAAUACCGUUGGACUAGAGAAUAGUUGCGGUAGGCGGAAUGUAUGGUGUAGCGGUGAAAUGCUUAGAGAUCAUACAGAACACCGAUUGCGAAGGCAGCUUACCAAACUAUAUCUGACGUUGAGGCACGAAAGCGUGGGUAGCAAACAGG